rnacentral:rRNA from 1 species
GAUGAACGCUGGCGGCGUGCCUAAUACAUGCAAGUCGAGCGAACAGACGAGGAGCUUGCUCCUCUGACGUUAGCGGCGGACGGGUGAGUAACACGUGGAUAACCUACCUAUAAGACUGGGAUAACUUCGGGAAACCGGAGCUAAUACCGGAUAAUAUAUUGAACCGCAUGGUUCAAUAGUGCAAGCCGGUUUUGCUGUCACUUAUAGAUGGAUCCGCGCCGCAUUAGCUAGUUGGUAAGGUAACGGCUUACCAAGGCAACGAUGCGUAGCCGACCUGAGAGGGUGAUCGGCCACACUGGAACUGAGACACGGUCCAGACUCCUACGGGAGGCAGCAGUAGGGAAUCUUCCGCAAUGGGCGAAAGCCUGACGGAGCAACGCCGCGUGAGUGAUGAAGGUCUUCGGAUCGUAAAACUCUGUUAUUAGGGAAGAACAAAUGUGUAAGUAACUAUGCACGUCUUGACGGUACCUAAUCAGAAAGCCACGGCUAACUACGUG